AUUGAUAUUCGCUGGUUGUUAGCUGCAAAUGGCCAAGGUCCUCGUCUCUCCUCGUGUACUCAGUCCUGAAAUAGUGACAAAUAGCAGUGAGGUCAUGAACAAUGUUGGGGUGAAAGGCAAAAUUUAUUUCCCGCUUGUAAAAGUUAUCCGCGGCGGGUAGUUGAAACCUGUUGAAACGGACUAUCCCAGUUGCAACAAAAUCGAGCAGCGAAUCGGCAAUGAAGUGACAAAUAGCGCCGAGGCCGCGGACAAGAAAGGGUUGAUUGGCGCGAUUUAUCUCCCGCUUGCCUACACUGCUGCUGCGAGUACCUACUUAGCUGCGCCCGGCCGUUGCUGCUGCGACCUCCG